rnacentral:lncRNA from 1 species
UGCCUGACAAAAUUGUUUAUAUGUGCGCAUGGGCGUGUGGAGUCUCUCACUUGGGGUUUUGUUUCUCAUGUGAAUCUGUGCAUACGUAGCCUGCAAGAAAUCAAAGCAAUCGUAUUUUAGUGAAGGAAGCUUUGUUUGGGGUGGGGAAGGAGCCCUCUGCAGUGAUGGAGAAUACAUUUUAGACUUAGCAAAAUUCUCUCGCCGUAGGCCAGGUCUCUGCCUUUGAUUGGCACCUGUGGGUCUCAGUGACCGUGAAAAUGUCCUGCCUUAUCGAGCCUGAGGAGGUACUGUAUGGAGAAGGGAGAGGAAGGAGGGGAAGCAGAAGCAUGUCCCUGCUCUGAUGUGCUCAAACAGGGUCCGAGUGGAGCCCCUUCCGCUUCUCUGGAGCCUUCACCACCAGUGACUACCUCCCUCCUCCACGGCUGAGCAUCUUUAUGGUCCAGCUUCUACGGGAAUCGAACCACCGUCAGCCUUGAAUGACUACUGACCAUUUCCCUAGGUGCAUGGCUUGGUUUUUCAGUGAGAUGAGACAUUUGUGAGGGCAGAACCUACAUUCUUUCUCUUAUCGAACAGCCUGACACAGGACACAAUGAUGAUGCUCAGUAACCACACAUAAAAUGAGUUGUAGUGCUGAUACAAUUCCACGGUUUGCUGUAAAAUGAGCUGCGGGUAUUUCCUCUAUCCACCCCUCCCCUGUGUGCUCAGUUCUGCCUUUUGAGGUGCACAGCUCCCUGCUACACCCCUACAUAUUGAACUAAAAAGCCUAAGACAUGUGUCCCAGGUAAAUGUUCAGGGUCUCACCAAGAAAAGAAUCGUAUUAAUUACCCAAACCCACAAACAUUUAUUCUGACCCUUCAGAAGAAGACAGUGCCACUAUAGUACCAUGUCUCCUGCUAAUUUAAAGAGUGAUGUGUCACUUUCUUCUAUUUAUUCUAUACCACUGUUAAAAAGGGAGUCCUUUCGAGGUUUCUAAGCCUCAAAGAUAAGAGGGAUUGUUAAACUUUGAUUCUUUUUCUUUCUUCCACUUCCCUAAGGUUUUUGAAGAACUGGCAAACUGGUGAUGGGUUCUAUCCUGAUCAUUAUUGUGGUCACUGAAUUGUCCAUUAGCAAAUAAAGGCUAGUUAGAGCUAAAUAAGCA